GAUCCUGGCUCAGGACGAACGCUGGCGGCGCGCCUAACACAUGCAAGUCGAACGAGCGAGAGAGAGCUUGCUUUCUCGAGCGAGUGGCAAACGGGUGAGUAACGCGUGAGGAACCUGCCUCAAAGAGGGGGACAACAGUUGGAAACGACUGCUAAUACUGCAUAAGCCCACGGUGCCGCAUGGCACAGAGGGAAAAGGAGCAAUCCGCUUUGAGAUGGCCUCGCGUCCGA
rnacentral:rRNA from 1 species